GUUCGAGCGUCAUUAUAACCACUCAAGCUCUCGCUUGGUAUUGGGGUUCGCGGUUCCGCGGCCCCUAAAAUCAGUGGCGGUGCGUCCGGCUCUACGCGUAGUAAUACUCCUCGCGUCUGGGUCCGGUCGGUUAACUUGCCAGCAACCCCCAAUUUUUAUAGGUUGACCUCGGAUCAGGUAGGGAUACCCGCUGAACUUAA
rnacentral:misc_RNA from 1 species